AUUGAACGCUGGCGGCAUGCCUUACACAUGCAAGUCGAACGGCAGCGGGGGAGAAGCUUGCUUUUCCUGCCGGCGAGUGGCGAACGGGUGAGUAAUACAUCGGAACGUGCCCUGUAGUGGGGGAUAACUAGUCGAAAGAUUAGCUAAUACCGCAUACGACCUGAGGGUGAAAGUGGGGGACCGCAAGGCCUCAUGCUAUAGGAGCGGCCGAUGUCUGAUUAGCUAGUUGGUGGGGUAAAGGCCUACCAAGGCGACGAUCAGUAGCUGGUCUGGGAGGACGAUCAGCCAAACGGGGACGGAGACACGGCCCAGACUCCUACGGGAGGCAGCAGUGGGGAAUUUUGGACAAUGGGCGAAAGCCUGAUCCAGCAAUGCCGCGUGUGUGAAGAAGGCCUUCGGGUUGUAAAGCACUUUUGUCCGGAAAGAAAUGGCUCUGGUUAAUACCUGGGGUCGAUGACGGUACCGGAAGAAUAAGGACCGGCUAACUACGUGCCAGCCGCCGCGGUAA
rnacentral:rRNA from 1 species